rnacentral:snRNA from 1 species
AGCUUUGCGCAGUGGCAGUAUCGUAGCCCUUGAGGUCAAUCCGAGGCGUGAUUAUUGCUAAUUGAAAACUUUGCAAUACCCGCCAUGAUGACUUGAAAUACAGUCAGCGUGGCAAUUUUGAUAGUCUGGGGGAGA